AGAGUUUGAUCCUGGCUCAGGACGAACGCUGGCGGCGUGCUUAACACAUGCAAGUCAAGGGGUAGCAAUACCACUGGCGCACGGGUGAGUAACGCGUAGAUUAUCUACCCCUAUCUCCGGAAUAACAUCAAGAAAUUGGUGCUAAAAACGGAUGAGGCACAAUGUGUCAAAGGUAACGGAUAGGGACGAGUCUGCGUCUGAUUAGCUUGUUGGUGAGGUAACGGCUCACCAAGGCGACAAUCAGUAGCUGGUCUGAGAGGACGAUCAGCCACACUGGAACUGAGACACGGUCCAGACUCCUACGGGAGGCAGCAGUGAGGAAUUUUGCACAAUGGGGGAAACCCUGAUGCAGCGACGCCGCGUGCGGGAUGAAGGGGCUUUGCCUUGUAAACCGCUGUCGGAUGGGAAAAAAAGUCUCCUCGGGAGACUGGGAUUGUACCAUCAAAGGAAGGACCGGCUAACUACGUGCCAGCAGCCGCGGUAAUACGUAGGGUCCAAGCGUUGUCCGGAUUUACUGGGUAUAAAGGGUGCGCAGGCGGAUCUGUGCGUCGGAGGUUAAAGACCCGGGCUCAACCCGGGAAGUGCCUUCGAUACGGCAGGUCUUGAGUGUGAGAGAGGAUAGUAGAAUUCCUGGUGUAGCGGUGAAAUGCGUAGAUAUCAGGAGGAAUACCAGUGGCGAAGGCGGCUAUCUGGCUCAUAACUGACGCUUAGGCACGAAAGCGUGGGGAUCAAACAGGAUUAGAUACCCUGGUAGUCC
rnacentral:rRNA from 1 species